rnacentral:rRNA from 1 species
AUAUCAAUAAGCGGAGGAAAAGAAACCAACAGGGAUUGCCUCAGUAACGGCGAGUGAAGCGGCAACAGCUCAAAUUUGAAAUCUGGCUUCCUUUGGGAGUCCGAGUUGUAAUUUGCAGAGGAUGUUUCGGGUACCGCUCCGGUUUAAAUUUCUUGGAACAGAAUGUCAGAGAGGGUGAGAAUCCCGUCUUGGACCGGCGGUAGGGCCCAUGUGAAACUCCCUCGACGAGUCGAGUUGUUUGGGAAUGCAGCUCAAAAUGGGUGGUAAAUUUCAUCUAAAGCUAAAUAUUGGCCAGAGACCGAUAGCGCACAAGUAGAGUGAUCGAAAGAUGAAAAGCACUUUGAAAAGAGAGUUAAACAGUAUGUGAAAUUGUUGAAAGGGAAGCGCUUGCGACCAGACUUGUACGCGGCGGUUCCCCCGUCCUUUUGGGCGGGCUAUUCCGUCGUGUUCAGGCCAACAUCGGUUCUGGGGGUUGGUUAAAGGCUUAGGGAAUGUAUCUACCCUUUGGGCGUAGACUUAUAGCCCUAGGUGUCAUACAACCUCCCGGGACCGAGGAACGCGCUUCGGCUCGGAUGUUGGCGUAAUGGUCGUAAGCGACCCGUCUUGAAACACGGACCAAGGAGUCUAACAUUUAUGCGAGUGUUUGGGUGUCAAACCCGGAACGCGGAAUGAAAGUGAACGGAGGUAGGAAGCUUUUAGCUGCACUAUCGACCGAUCCUGAUGUCUUCGGAUGGAUUUGAGUAAGAGCAUAACUGUUGGGACCCGAAAGAUGGUGAACUAUGCCUGAAUAGGGUGAAGCCAGAGGAAACUCUGGUGGAGGCUCGCAGCGGUUCUGACGUGCAAAUCGAUCGUCAAAUUUAGGUAUAGGGGCGAAAGACUAAUCGAACCAUCUGGUAGCUGGUUCCUGCCGAAGUUUCCCUCAGGAUAGCAGUAACGUUUUCAGUUUUAUGAGGUAAAGCGAAUGAUUAGAGGCCUUGGGGUUGAAACAACCUUAACCUAUUCUCAAACUUUAAAUAUGUAAGAAGUCCUUGUUGCUUAAUUGAACGUGGACAUUCGAAUGUAUCGUUACUAGUGGGCCAUUUUUGGUAAGCAGAACUGGCGAUGCGGGAUGAACCGAACGUGAGGUUAAGGUGCCGGAAUGUACGCUCAUCAGACACCACAAAAGGUGUCAAUGCAUCUAGACAGCCGGACGGUGGCCAUGGAAGUCGGAAUCCGCUUAGGAGUGUGUAACAACUCACCGGCCGAAUGCAUUGGCCCUGAAAAUGGAUGGCGCUUAAGCGUGCUACCUAUACCUCGCCGUCAGGGUUGACAUGAUGCCCUGACGAGUAGGCAGGCGUGGAGGUCCGUGACGAAGC